CCAGACUCCUACGGGGGGCAGCAGUGGGGGAUAUUGCACAAUGGGGGGAACCCUGAUGCAGCGACGCCGCGUGGGUGAAGGAGCGUUUCGGCGCGUAAAGCCCUAUCGGCAGGGAAGAAGGAGGACGGUACCUGACUAAGAAGCCCCGGCUAACUACGUGCCAGCAGCCGCGGUAAUACGUAGGGAGCAAGCGUUGUCCGGAAUUACUGGGUGUAAAGGGAGCGUAGGCGGGAUAGUAAGUUGAUUGUUAAAACUAUCGGCUCAACUGGUAGAUGCGAUCAAAACUGCAAUUCUUGAGUGAAGUAGAGGCAGGCGGAAUUCCUAGUGUAGCGGUGAAAUGCGUAGAUAUUAGGAGGAACACCAGUGGCGAAGGCGGCCUGCUGGGCUUUAACUGACGCUGAGGCUCGAAAGUGUGGGUGGCAAACAGGAUUAGAUACCCUUGUA
rnacentral:rRNA from 1 species